GCUUGUCUCAAAGAUUAAGCCAUGCAUGUCUCAGUACAAGCCAAAUUAAGGUGAAACCGCGAAAGGCUCAUUAAAUCAGUUAUGGUUCCUUAGAUCGUACCCACAAUUACUUGGAUAACUGUGGUAAUUCUAGAGCUAAUACAUGCAAACAGAGCUCCGACCGGAGACGGAAGGAGUGCUUUUAUUAGAUCAAAACCAAUCGGUGACGGGCCCGUCAUCGUACAAUUUGGUGACUCUGAAUAACUUUUCGCCGAUCGCACGGUCAUCGCACCGGCGACGCGUCUUUCAAAUGUCUGCCUUAUCAACUGUCGAUGGUAGGUUCUGCGCCUACCAUGGUCGUAACGGGUAACGGGGAAUCAGGGUUCGAUUCCGGAGAGGGAGCCUGAGAAACGGCUACCACAUCCAAGGAAGGCAGCAGGCGCGCAAAUUACCCACUCCCGGCACGGGGAGGUAGUGACGAAAAAUAACGAUACGGGACUCAUCCGAGGCCCCGUAAUCGGAAUGAGUACACUCUAAACCCUUUAACGAGGAUCAAUUGGAGGGCAAGUCUGGUGCCAGCAGCCGCGGUA
rnacentral:rRNA from 1 species